rnacentral:tRNA from 1 species
GGAUAUAACUCAGGUGGUAGAGUGCUUGCCUUGCAUGAACAAGGCCCUGGGUUCGAUCCCCGGCACCA